CAGCCCAGAGCCUGAAUCAGUGUGUGUGUUAGUGGAAGCGUCUGGAAAGGCGCGCGAUACAGGGUGACAGCCCCGUACACAAAAAUGCACAUGCUGUGAGCUCGAUGAGUAGGGCGGGACACGUGGUAUCCUGUCUGAAUAUGGGGGGACCAUCCUCCAAGGCUAAAUACUCCUGACUGACCGAUAGUGAACCAGUACCGUGAGGGAAAGGCGAAAAGAACCCCGGCGAGGGGAGUGAAAAAGAACCUGAAACCGUGUACGUACAAGCAGUGGGAGCACGCUUAGGCGUGUGACUGCGUACCUUUUGUAUAAUGGGUCAGCGACUUAUAUUCUGUAGCAAGGUUAACCGAAUAGGGGAGCCGAAGGGAAACCGAGUCUUAACUGGGCGUUAAGUUGCAGGGUAUAGACCCGAAACCCGGUGAUCUAGCCAUGGGCAGGUUGAAGGUUGGGUAACACUAACUGGAGGACCGAACCGACUAAUGUUGAAAAAUUAGCGGAUGACUUGUGGCUGGGGGUGAAAGGCCAAUCAAACCGGGAGAUAGCUGGUUCUCCCCGAAAGCUAUUUAGGUAGCGCCUCGUGAAUUCAUCUCCGGGGGUAGAGCACUGUUUCGGCAAGGGGGUCAUCCCGACUUACCAACCCGAUGCAAACUGCGAAUACCGGAGAAUGUUAUCACGGGAGACACACGGCGGGUGCUAACGUCCGUCGUGAAGAGGGAAACAACCCAGACCGCCAGCUAAGGUCCCAAAGUCAUGGUUAAGUGGGAAACGAUGUGGGAAGGCCCAGACAGCCAGGAUGUUGGCUUAGAAGCAGCCAUCAUUUAAAGAAAGCGUAAUAGCUCACUGGUCGAGUCGGCCUGCGCGGAAGAUGUAACGGGGCUAAACCAUG
rnacentral:rRNA from 1 species